rnacentral:rRNA from 1 species
AAGACCUCGCGCUAUUGGAGCGGCCGAUGUCCGAUUAGCUAGUUGGUGAGGUAAUGGCCCACCAAGGCAACGAUCGGUAGCUGGUCUGAGAGGAUGAUCAGCCACACUGGGACUGAGACACGGCCCAGACUCCUACGGGAGGCAGCAGUGGGGAAUUUUGGACAAUGGGCGCAAGCCUGAUCCAGCCAUGCCGCGUGAGUGAAGAAGGCCUUCGGGUUGUAAAGCUCUUUCGGCCGGAACGAAAUCGUCCGGGCUAAUACCCCGGAUGGAUGACGGUACCGGAAGAAGAAGCACCGGCUAACUACGUGCCAGCAGCCGCGGUAAUACGUAGGGUGCAGGCGUUAAUCGGAAUUACUGGGCGUAAAGCGUGCGCAGGCGGCUUCCUAAGUCAGAUGUGAAAUCCCCGGGCUUAACCUGGGAACU